UACGUAGGGGGCAAGCGUUUGUCCGGAAUCAUUGGGCGUAAAGAGCGUGUAGGCGGCCCGGUAAGUCCGCUGUGAAAGUCCAGGCUCAACCCUGGGAUGCCGGUGGAUCUGUCGGGCUCGAGUCCGGAAGAGGAGUGUGGAAUUCCUGGUGGUAGCGGUGAAAUGCGCAGAUAUCAGGAGGAACACCAAUGGCGAAGGCAGCACUCUGGGACGUGACUGACGCUGAGACGCGAAAGCGUGGGGAG
rnacentral:rRNA from 1 species